GCAAGUCGAGCGGAAACGAUGAUAGCUUGCUAUCAGGCGUCGAGCGGCGGACGGGUGAGUAAUACUUAGGAAUCUACCUAGUAGUGGGGGAUAGCACGGGGAAACUCGUAUUAAUACCGCAUACGACCUACGGGAGAAAGGGGGCAGUUUACUGCUCUCGCUAUUAGAUGAGCCUAAGUCGGAUUAGCUAGAUGGUGGGGUAAAGGCUCACCAAGGCGACGAUCCGUAGCUGGUCUGAGAGGACGAUC
rnacentral:rRNA from 1 species